rnacentral:rRNA from 1 species
AAUCCAGGCCCUACGGGGCGCAGCAGGCGCGAAAACUUUACAAUGCGGGCAACCGUGAUAAGGGAACCUCGAGUGCCUGUAAAUGCAGGCUGUUUAGGUGUUUAAAACGCACCUGGAGAAAGGGCCGGGCAAGACCGGUGCCAGCCGCCGCGGUAAUACCGGCGGCUCGAGUGGUGGCCACUUUUAUUGGGCUUAAAGCGUUCGUAGCUGGGUUGUUAAGUCUCUUGGGAAAUCUGGCGGCUUAACCGUCAGGCGUCUAAGGGAUACUGGCAAUCUUGGAACCGGGAGAGGUGAGGGGUACUUCGGGGGUAGGAGUGAAAUCCUGUAAUCCUCGAGGGACCACCUGUGGCGAAGGCGCCUCACCAGAACGGCUUCGACAGUGAGGGACGAAAGCUGGGGGAGCAAACCGGAUUAGAUACCCGGGUAGUCCCAGCCGUAAACUAUGCGCGUUAGGUGUAUCGGUGACCACGAGUUACCGAGGUGCCGAAGGGAAACCGUGAAACGUGCCGCCUGGGAAGUACGGUCGCAAGGCUGAAACUUAAAGGAAUUGGCGGGGGAGCACCACAACAGGUGGAGCCUGCGGUUUAAUUGGACUCAACGCCGGGAAGCUCACCGGAUAGGACAGCAGAAUGAUGCCGGCUAGAUUCAAC